GGAGAGGAGAAGAGAAGCAGCCAAAGGAAGGACGAAAGGAGAGAGGAGGACAGAUUGUAACUGCACUCAUGGCUGCCCCAGCGAGAGAACAUCAGAUGUCUCUCCAUCUCUCCUCCGCCAUCUCUCGCUCAGUGCAUCUGUCCCUUCGGCCCUCCAUCGAGGCCUCCCUCCAUGACCCACCCGUCUCUGCAUCACCACGGUGACGAGAGCCUCUCCAUCCAAAUUGACACACGUCGAGAUGAACAGAUUGGGAGCUGAGGGACAGAAGGGAGGAGGAAAGAGGAAGAGAAAAACUGGGAUGAGAUGUAGAGAAAUAAGAAUCUUACCCUGGGAGCAAAGCUGUCAUCAUCAAGAACACCAAAGAUGCCGUGACCGACCGUCUGUACAGCUACGCUCCCAUUGUAGGCAUCAACCUUUGGGCACUACAAGCAUGGGCAUGAAGAUAAAAAAGAAGAAAAAAAGAAAUCCAAAGUCAUGGCUAUUGUCAAGGUGUUCACCUGGCAUAACCUCCUUCCCAACAGAUGCUAUGUGGAUUAUUCCUCUGGAGAAGACAAGGGACAACAAGGAUGUCUUCCGGGAUCCAGUUCUCAAG